GCCACCCCUGGAGAAACUGCCACAUGAAAAACACCACAAUCAACCUUAUUGUGGCAUUGCGCCGUACAUUCGAGAGUUUGAGGGUCAUCUCUUAGGUGCAUCAGAGCACACCUGAGAAAAGCUGGCACACAGUCGGAAGUUACAAGAAGAACGUUCUAGCAUUGGGUAGGUAAGGGCAGCUGGAGGCGAGGGAGUUGCAGAGCAGAAUUUCGUAGAUAACAGAAAGGACCCUCGAGAUGCCCCUCCUCCAACUCGUGCUGAAACCCGAGAGGAGCGCAUGGAGAGGAAAAGACGGGAAAAGAUUGAGCGGCGACAGCAAGAAGUGGAGACAGAGCUUAAAAUGUGGGACCCUCACAAUGAUCCCAAUGCUCAGGGGG
rnacentral:lncRNA from 1 species